ensembl:miRNA MIR128-2 microRNA 128-2
UUUGCAGUAGGACUGGGGGCCGUUACACUGUAAGAGAUUGAGUAGCAGAUCUCACAGUGAACCGGUCUCUUUUUUUGCUGCUUUCUACUCU